AUAACAAGACGACUUUUGAAGACUUAAAAACGGUCAUAAACAUCACAUUACAGUGUGAAGUCAGUUUGUCAUUAUGGAGAACAGAGAGAGAUCUCCUGAUCACAGCUGUGUGUCUCUGAAGAGUGACGAUUCCUUGAAAUGUCCUAAACCUAAUUUCAGUAAUGAUCCAGUGACCUCUGACCCCAGGUGAGGAUAAACGUGGUGAUGAUUGAACUGCUUUAUGGGAGUCAAAAACACACUCAAUACACACAGACAGAGCUCCACACAAUGAACACAUGAGCUCCUACAUUAAAACACUUCAGGAGCGCAAUGAAGAUGUGAUACAUAUAUAUGAAAUGUCAUGAAAAUAUCUAAUUGUGUGUUUUCCUUUAAUUUAGGAAUACAACAAGACAGUCACAAGCAAAAUUAUUUAAUUCAUUAGAAUACAAAAAGCACACAAACGUUUUAAAUAGUUCUCUAUUAAACUGUUUAAUAAUUAUGUAAUUGUUUAUAGGCCUAUAUUAAACACAGUGUGAAACCAAAAAUACCAAUAUUAACCAGGAAAAAAAAGGAAAGAACUUUAACCAUAAUGUGGGACUUUUAAUCAUAAACAAACAGAAAUACAAUGGACUCGUAUUUUAAAUGCCUGCUUUUCUAUCGCUUGCUGCUCAUUCAGAAAGAUGAGAGAGAUAAAAUAUGCAUCUUACAACCAUCUAACAUGUUAC
ensembl:lncRNA